GGUUGACGGGCUCGCCGGGGAGCCGGCAAGCCAAGCUGCAGUGUUUCUCAGCAACAAGUCUCGCUAAGAUCCGACCCAGAGUUCGGCCUCUGACUAGACGCCCGGGAAUACGUGAGCUUAAUCCCCGCUUAAAUCCCAAACUGAAAAUUAUAGCGCUUUCUUGUCGGUUAAGGCUGUCAUUCCAAUAAGAAGCUGGACCUUGGGACCGCCAGGGAAAGCCUGAGCGUGACAGCAAAUGGGGAGGCCUGGAGGGAUCGCAGCAGUCUCCAAAAUUCUCUCCCUAGGAUUUGUAAACACUGCCAAUUCCUAAGCUAUAUGCUGUCCUAUGGUCUGUCCAUCUUUAAAGUCCACCAGUAACAUCCAACCUCCAGGCUGACCCUCUAAACCUGCUUUAGCUGGGCAUUGACCCGCAGCACUACCGGAAGGCAGUGAAGAAGAAGGAAAAAUAAAAUGAACUAGGACCUCCUGUAGAAUAACUCCUGUGGAAUAAGGACAUCAGACUCCAGGUUCUUCGGGGACUCCUGGAUUUACACCAGUGUUUUGCCAGGGGCUCUGUAGGCUGCACUGUCAGCUUCCCUACUUUUGAGACUUUUGGACUCGGACUGAGCCACUACUGACUUCCUUCUUUCUCAGCUUGGAGAAGGCCUGUCGUGGACUUCGCCUUGUGAUCAUAUCCUAGUGGACCUUCCUUCCUUCAAAAUAUACUCUGAAUCUGACCACUUCUAACCACCUCUGCUACCUGAAUUCAAGUCAUCAUCCUCUGCUGCCUGGAUUGAGUCAUUGAUUCCUUCCCAGUCUCUCUGCUUCCACACUUGCCUCUCUAUAGUUGAUUCUCAAAUUGCAAUUGUAAUGAUCCUUUAAAAAUGUAAGUCUGAUUAUGCCUUUUCUCUACCAAAAACCUUCAGAAAACUUCCCAACUUCCUCAAAGUAAACACUACAGUCCUUUCAACGGCCCACAUCUCUUAUUGCUCUUCACUGCUCCUGCUCACUCCAGGCACACUCCCACCUCAGGGCCUUUGCACCUGCUCAUUCCUCUGCCUCUGCCUGGGUAGUUCUCUCUCACAGAUGUCUACAUAUAUCCCUAUAUUGACAUAGUUUUGUCUACAUAUAUACUAAUAUAUCUCCACAUAUAUACAUGUCUACAUGUAGAUUUUAUGAAUAUACAUAUCUACAUAUAAACACAUCUAUAUAUGUAAACCUACACACAUGUCUACAUAUAUCCCUCAACUCUUAGGUCUUUGCCCAAACAUCACAUUCUGCAUAUUUCUGAUAACACUAUGUAAAGCUACAGUCAUGUUCCUCUGUUCCUUUACCUCCUUCCCUGUCUUAUUUUUCUCCAUAGCAGUGAUUGCCAUCUGACAUACUGUGUAUUUUGCUUGUUUGUUGUGUUUAUCCCUAGUUCCAAUAUUAUUAGUAACUUUAAGGUGGCAGAGGUGUUUUUCUUUUUUCUCUAUUAUAUCCCUGGUACUUGUAACAGUGCCUGGCACAACCCAGUCACUCAGUAAAUAAUGAAUGAAUGA
rnacentral:lncRNA from 1 species